UACGUAGGGGGCAAGCGUUGUCCGGAUUUAUUGGGCGUAAAGAGCGUGUAGGCGGCUUGGAAGGUCAGCUGUGAAACUCGAGGCUCAACCUCGAGACGUCGGUUGAAACCACCUGGCUAGAGUCCGGAAGAGGAGAGUGGAAUUCCCGGUGUAGCGGUGAAAUGCGCAGAUAUCGGGAAGAACACCCGUGGCGAAGGCGGCUCUCUGGGACGGUACUGACGCUGAGACGCGAAAGCGUGGGGAGCGAACAGG
rnacentral:rRNA from 1 species